UAGCUUAGGCAUUCCGGUCCGGUGGUAG
rnacentral:sRNA from 1 species